rnacentral:rRNA from 1 species
CAGUAGCCGCGGGAAUACGAAGGGGGCUAGCGUUGUUCGGAAUUACUGGGCGUAAAGCGCACGUAGGCGGAUAUUUAAGUCAGGGGUGAAAUCCCAGAGCUCAACUCUGGAACUGCCUUUGAUACUGGGUAUCUUGAGUAUGGAAGAGGUGAGUGGAAUUCCGAGUGUAGAGGUGAAAUUCGUAGAUAUUCGGAGGAACACCAGUGGCGAAGGCGGCCCACUGGUCCAUUACUGACGCUGAGGUGCGAAAGCGUGGGGAGCAAACAGGAUUAGAUACCCCCGUAGUCCCUGUCUCUUAUAC